GUGCACACACAGAUGUGAGAGAGAUCAACUGCGAAGCGACUGCAAGAGGCCAGAAGAGCUUCCAUGGGUCAAGAACCCAGGCAUGGCAUGGAUGGUCCCUCUACUCAUGGUCUCACAAGGCUGCAAUCAAGAGGAUGGAAAGAAACAACAGGAAGCAAGUGGAGAGAAGAAAAGCGAAGGAGCACGGGAAAAAAAUGUAUCACUUAGUGUGGGAGUAUCUGCCCUUCCUCGUACGUCUGCUAGAAAGGA